rnacentral:rRNA from 1 species
GACGAACGCUGGCGGCGUGCUUAACACAUGCAGGUCGAACGGAAAGGCCCUGCUUUUGUGGGGUGCUCGAGUGGCGAACGGGUGAGUAACACGUGAGUAACCUGCCCUUGACUUUGGGAUAACUUCAGGAAACUGGGGCUAAUACCGGAUAGGAGCUCCUGCUGCAUGGUGGGGGUUGGAAAGUUUCGGCGGUUGGGGAUGGACUCGCGGCUUAUCAGCUUGUUGGUGGGGUAGUGGCUUACCAAGGCUUUGACGGGUAGCCGGCCUGAGAGGGUGACCGGCCACAUUGGGACUGAGAUACGGCCCAGACUCCUACGGGAGGCAGCAGUGGGGAAUAUUGCACAAUGGGCGGAAGCCUGAUGCAGCAACGCCGCGUGCGGGAUGGCGGCCUUCGGGUUGUAAACCGCUUUCGCCUGUGACGAAGCGUGAGUGACGGUAAUGGGUAAAGAAGCACCGGCUAACUACGUG